rnacentral:rRNA from 1 species
UACGGGGGGGGCAAGCGUUGUUCGGAAUUACUGGGCGUAAAGGGCUCGUAGGCGGCCAACUAAGUCAUACGUGAAAUCCCUCGGCUUAACCGGGGAACUGCGUCUGAUACUGGAUGGCUUGAGUUCGGGAGAGGGAUGCGGAAUUCCAGGUGUAGCGGUGAAAUGCGUAGAUAUCUGGAGGAACACCGGUGGCGAAGGCGGCGUGCUGGACCCGAUCUGACGCUGAGGCGCGAAAGCCAGGGGAGCGAACGGGG